GGAUGUGAGGACAAUUUGGCUGCAAAAUCUGUUGAUUGCCAGGGUUGAUUUGGCUGAUCUGGCUGGCUAGGCAGGUGUCCCCUUCCUCUCUCAACAUCCAUGUGCUUCCCUCUAGAAGUUGUGCUCUUAGUCUUAGAGGACAACAUUUCCCAACAGUGGAAGACCUGAGUAGCUGAGUAGCUGUUAUUCCCUGCUUGAACCUCCAAACAAGCUCUCAAAUAGUAUUUAGCAGCAUCCUGUUAUGUCACGUUGUUAGUUCUUCUAAUUAGGAAAUU
rnacentral:snRNA from 1 species